rnacentral:rRNA from 1 species
GCGAACGCUGGCGGCGUGCCUAACACAUGCAAGUCGAACGUGAAAUGUAGCAAUACAAAGUAAAGUGGCGCACGGGUGAGUAACACGUGGGUAAUCUACCAAAGAGUCUGGAAUAACCUGCCGAAAGGCGGGCUAAUAUUAGAUAGAGCGAUGGAGGUCGUGAAGAUCUCUUCGGGAAAGGGGGCGUAAGCUCUCGCUUUUUGAUGAGCCUGCGUCUGAUUAGCUAGUUGGUGGGGUAAAAGCUUACCAAGGCGAUGAUCAGUAGCUGGUCUGAGAGGAUGAUCAGCCACACUGGAACUGAAACACGGUCCAGACUCCUACGGGAGGCAGCAGUGGGGAAUUUUGGACAAUGGGCGCAAGCCUGAUCCAGCCAUGCCGCGUGAGUGAAGAAGGCCUUCGGGUUGUAGAGCUCUUUCGGUGAAGACGAAACGGUUAGCGUUAAUAACGCUGACUAAUGACGGUACUCACAGAAGAAGCACCGGCUAACUACGUG